UUUACAGAGUACUUAGCUUCCAGUAUUCAGAAGUGGGCUACUCCAGAAAGGUGUGCCUGAGGAAUGAAGUUAUUGCUAUAACUAUGCUUGAAAAUAUGAAAGCUAUUUUAGAACUUAGUAACAUGCCUAGUAGCUUAGAAGGUUAGGAGGUUUCAUGGGAUGCUAGUGAGACAAGAAGUCACCCCUUGUCACACUGCUGGAAAGGCGCUGAGUGCUCCGUGUCCACAUCCUAAAGCUUUAAGGAAGGCCUAAUGUAAGAGCGAUGGGUUACUUUAUUUGCAAAGUAUUAAAACGUUCGCUAUGGGUCUCAUUGCCAAUUUGGGUGUUUACAGUAAGCCUUGGGAGCAAAAGGAAACAGUGCAAAAGUGAAUGUGUGCCUUCUGACAGCUUUCAAAUGUGUCUAGGAAGCAAGUGACACACAGCUUAUGACAUCACAUCUGAACUGCUCCUUGCUGAAGGAGACCCUGUGAGGCUGCACUGAAGCCAUACUUGCACCAUGACGUUAGCAAGCUGCAAACAUUAACGUACCACCAGAGAGAGAAAGAGUGCUCGGUUCAGACAAAGGCAAACAUGGAAGGUUUAAAGUCACAUCGGAUCAGCUACAUCUGAUUUCUGCAGGAUGAUCCAUUUUUAAUAUGGGCUACACCUUCUUCUGGAAGCCUUAAACAGGGACAUGAAAGAAGAAUACUUGUUCUCUUUGCUUGCUUGCUCUCGCUCUUCCUAGAAAUUACUUCACUGCUAUUAGAGCCUACUUCUUCAGGAUUCUGCAUAUACUGAAAACCAUCUGGGACAUCCAGCCUUGUGGACUGAACAACUUCUGGCUUCUUGGACCUUUCACUGUCAGCCAUUGCCAGACCACAGUCUAUAAGUCAUUCUAAUAAAUCUCCUACAUAUAGA